CCCAUAUGAUGCUUUAUUAGAUUGCAUUAGCACUUAUUUUUGUGCAAAGAUGAUCUCUUAUCUAUCACCCAAGGCUGAUGGCU